CACGUUAAUCGUCAGAACCUGACUGGCCAGCGUGACGAUCCUGGGACUGGACGCGGCGUUGAAGACGUCCAGCUUCAUAGCAGAAACACAAGGUCAGAAGGUUUGAUGGGUAAAACGUGUUUCAGAGAAGUAAAGGUUUUACUCACAGCGCUGAACGGGACAAUGUGAUUCCUCAUCAGCUCCAGCAGUUUGUUGUGCCCCUUCAAAAUAAAAGUGUUUUUAGUAAUAUUUGAAAUGUUUUGAGCUGUGAAGUCUUUUUGUGUGAUUGUGAGUCUUACUUCAACGCUGCUCAGGAACUGCAGGUGGCCUUCAGUCAUCGCGUCGAAGGCCGAGCUGCUGGGAGCGAAGACCGUCAUCGGACCGGGCAGGUCCAGGACCGAGCCCAGGUCGACUUUCUGCACACAGACCAGAAGAAGGAGUCAAUAUAUACCGGCCAUCUCUACCGGGGCUGCAGCCAAGACCAAGACCCUGUCUGGUCCAGUCCAGUCCAAGACCAUGACCAAGACCUAAGACCCUAUCUUUUGGGCUAUAAUAAACUUUGACUUGACUAGAAGUAAAAUGCUGUAAAUGUGAGGCAGUUCUACCUGCUGGAUCAGGACAUUUAACCUGCCAGACUUCUGUCUUUCUGUCAGGAUUUAGUAUCAAUACAGUGCAGAAAACUGAAACGAACCUCUAACAAAGACUUGAACUUGUCAAACUUCCCGUAGUCAGAGAUGAUCUUCAUUAGAUUCUCCUGAAAACAAACGGAUGUUAAUGAUGGUCGAUGAAGGAGUGAAUUCCUGAAACAGGAAGUUCCCUGUUUCACCUGAGAGUCGCUCUCCACCGUGGGUUCCACGCUGUCCAUCAACUUAUUGAUGAUGUGGAUCAUCCCGUUAGACGCCACCACGUCGGACUGGACGAUCACGCCUUUCUUCCUGCUGCCAUGGAUACGGAUCUUAGUCAGAAGGUCCUGGAGGAAAACACGUGGAGUGUCUAUCUCAGCUGGUUUCCCGGUCAAAGUGAAGAAGACGUCGGUCUUCUUCAGGGUGAUGAGGGGCAGGACUCCGGCCACCAGGUGAAUCUUACACAGGUACUUGGCUUUGGACGAGUCAGCGGUCAGAGUACUCAUCUGACACGCAGGAAACAACAAGAUGUUUAAAGUUCAAGCUGUUCGUCUCUGAAAUCAACCUUCAAAGUAAAAUACUGUCAACAGGAAGGAUUAGCAAAAGUUUCAAAAUAAGACUUGAUGUAUAAACUUACUAAAGUUCCCCUGAAACCUUUAUUGGUCGGGACAAAGAGAGUGAACGGACCCAAAUUCUGCAGAGACCACGACAGAGAAGCUGAAAACACACGAAUACAAUCCUUAAUGUUUUAUUCCUGUAAGAAGAAGUGUAAUUAUUUCCACUGUCCAUAAAUCUAAUAAAUAUGUUUUUUUAUCAGUUAUAUUGAAUUUACUGUGAGGAAAGAAACCAGAACAUAUUAUUACAGUUCAUAUUCACAUGUAAGCAGCUGGAAUCAGAGAACUUAUUAAAGAAUGCCGACACUCGAUUAUCAAAGUAGUUUAUAUAAUAGUGAUUCAUUCACCAGCUAGUCGAUCGUUGCAGCUGAACUCUGACCUAAUCUUUGAGUUACAUGGAACACAUUUCUUGAAAAGUAUAAAUGCUGUAAAGCAAAGUCGGAGCAUAAAAGUGCUUAAAGUGCGGAACAUUCUGACACGUGUCAUGUUUCUGUUUGUGCAGAUGAUGUUGGUACCGAACAGCAUGAUGGCCUUGUUCAGCUGCCCUCGCCACGGUCCUCCAGGCUCCGUGUUCAGAUCGCUCAGACGCUGCAUGAUGUUCCCAUAACACACCUCACCGUUACCAAGGAAACCCUGCAGACAGGUGCAUCUGCAGCACAUACAGCAUGUUAAAUCGUCUGAAUUCAGAUUAUAAAUCACGUUAACUCGUCUGAGUUCAGUAGACAGAGGUGAGGAUAAGUGAAGGCACUGACUGGACUCUCCCCGGCACCACGGUGGUGCACUUUGCGUUCUUGUGGCAGGAAUCCGCUCUGCAGGCGUCUUUCAGGCUGCAGCUGCCGUGGUUCAGGAGGUGAAACCCGGUGAGACACUCGCAGUGAGACUGAAGAGGACACACAGUUAGCUUCCUGUGGACAUACACAGAGACAGACUGUUCCUGAGGGUUAGGGUUAGGGUUAGGGUUUCCUCACCUUCCCCGGGCCGUCGUACACGCAGCCUGCAGACUCGGCGGCGCAGCCUCCCUGUUUGCUCUGACACGGGUCGAUGGACAUGCAGACCUGCCCGUCCCCGCUGUACCCCUCGUUACAGGCACACAGGUGCUGGUUCGGACCGGAGUGGACGCAGAACGCCUGCACGUGGCAGACCCGCUGGAGACAAGGGUUUAUAGCUGAGGACGCAAACACCAUAAACACUUUUAAUGUCCUUUUUAAGACAACUGACACUGACCUCACGGGGAUUCUUUGAUUUCUAUGAUCUCAGCAUUUCCAGCAGAUUGAGACAACUUCUCAUGUUUGGGAAAAAUACAUGCUGUUUCCAUGGUUUCCUGAUCAAACUGUACAAAUGCAGCAAAAUCAGUUGGAAACAAUCAUUCACACAUCUCACUGUGGAGACAUGAAGAUAAAUAAUAAUAAUCUCCCAAGCUUUUAUUAUGUACAACAU
rnacentral:lncRNA from 1 species